rnacentral:misc_RNA from 1 species
GUAGGUGAACCUGCGGAAGGAUCAUUAAAAGUUGUGCGAGGCGGUCCCUGGCACUGCCAGGUGGCCGCUUAGACAUCAACACCCUCUGUAUAUCUACCGCGUUGCUUUGGCGGGACGGCAGCCAGCAGCCCUGCUGGGAAGCUGUCCGCAGGGCCUCUCAAGACCCUGCGAGCGCCCGCCAGAGAACCGUCAAACUCAUGUUAAACCGUGAUGUCUGAGCUUUACAAGCAAUAAGUUAAAACUUUCAACAACGGAUCUCUUGGUUCUC